CAGUAUUCGCGCCACUCUUUUGUUCAUUCAUGACCUGGUGGCGAAGAAGAGAGAUACGGGAGCUGUUUGUUGGAACAUGUAAACUACGUACGUAUUCAUUUGCCGAUCAAUGAAACAACCAAGCGUGGUCGACACUUGGAUUUCCCGCCAUUUAAAUUUCCGUGUGAAAUGUAGUGAGGGCGUUCAGCAGUUGUGGAUUUGCAUAGGUUUGAAUGUAUUGUGUUGUAAAAUACUCUCAAGCGAAGAACUUGAUUUGUUUGGUCCACUUUGAUGUACACAGUACCGUUACUUUCAUUUCAUGCAAUUGCUCUGCUUGGUCCACUUUGAUUUGAGCAAUUUCAACUUGAAUUCAGGUAAUUUUGUUUAUCAUAAUUGAUACAAGUAAAGUCAAGUAACUGAUUUGCUUACUAUAGAUA